UCCAUUAACACUAGUUUUAAACCUGAAGGUGGAGUGUGGCACCAAACACCUUAAAGGAACCCCAUUAGCUUCCACAACAGAUGUUGUUCAUCUUCUGUCAAAUACAAUCACAUGGAGGAAAAAGCAUGGCAGUGACGGAGAACGAGAAGGGCGAAAGCGGAUCAUUGAAUGAAACAGAUGAACCAGAAUUGGUUUGUAAAAAUGCUGCAACUUCAGUGGUGUGGAACUGGUUUAGCUUUCGUCCGUCAGAUACACAACAAACACUAUUUGUGGUAGGACAUGCUAGCAGGCCGUCGUUAUUACUGUGUUUUUUGUGGAGUUGUAAAGUAUUUUGUCUAGUGUCAAUUAUAUCGUCAGCUACAUCGUUAACGCAAAUUUUCCAAUGUAUAUCGUGAUAAAUAUUUUUGGUCAUAUC